UACGUAGGCAGCAAGCGUUGUUCGGAGUUACUGGGCGUAAAGAGUAUGUAGGCGGUUGGGUAAGUUUGGUGUGAAAAUCUCCCGGCUUAACUGGGAGGGUGCGCUAAAGACUGCCUGGCUCGAGUGUGGGAGAGGAAAGCGGAAUUCCUGGUGUAGCGGUGAAAUGCGUAGAUAUCAGGAGGAACACCUGCGGUGUAGCGGCUUUCUGGACCAUAACUGACGCUGAGAUACGAAAGCGUGGGUAGCAAACAGG
rnacentral:rRNA from 1 species